CUUAAAAGACCCUGGCGCUGCAAACUUGCAGCUACAGAAACCACGUGAUUGACGCGGAAGUUGUAGCCCUCGAGUGAAUUUGAAAUCGAGCAGUCCCUCGCAGAACAGCGCCUGGCUUAUUCUGACUGGAGCUUGGGUUUGCGGUUCAUUUCUGUAGGUUCAACACGCGAUUCUAGACUGAACCCUACCACAGCAGAAGCUCAUUAUCAGUGAGAAUAGGGUUGUUUUGAGGUCAGAUGAUCUCUACGAUGAGGCCGUAACUGAAGCUUUUCUUGAGGCUGGUGUCGAUCGUUACCAGAAUGGCCACUGCUAAGAAAGCAGCGUCGUCUAAGACGGGGGGGCGUUCGCUUCACUGAGGAACCCGCCGCAGCAGCCGCCGCUCACUCUCUCCAUGUGCAUUUUUGAUGAGAAACUGCACGACUCCGUUGUCAUGGUGAUACCCAAAUCAAACGGAAACUUCCUGGUUAAGGUGGGCUUCCUGAAAACACAGCACCGAUAUGAGAUCGUGUUCACACUGCCAGAGAUGCCAGAGCUCGGGAAAGACGUGUGUCCAGCCCCCAUCCCCAAUCCACACCUCCGUAUCACUAACAUAACACCGUCCUCAGACGG